rnacentral:misc_RNA from 1 species
AAAUAAAAUAUAACAUGCAAGUGUUAUCCCAUUAAAAAUAUAGAAAGCAAUUUAUCUUUUCUCAAAACUGCCCCACCCUGCCCCAAGCCAAGAAUCUCUAAGUUUUGUUCCCACCACAGUAAUCAACAAGUCACACUACUAAUUUUAAAAAAUAAUACUUUAGAAACCACGCAUUAGUACAUCAGAAACCAUGUAAUUUGACUUUUAACUUUUGGUAACUCAAUGCAAGAGGUAACUUCAAUAUUUCCUAUUCAAAACUGCUUAAAAAUAGGCUUAGAAAUAAG